UACGGAGGGUGCAAGCGUUAUCCGGAUUCACUGGGUUUAAAGGGUGCGUAGGUGGAGUGGUAAGUCAGUGGUGAAAUCUCCAAGCUUAACUUGGAGACUGCCGUUGAUACUAUCAUUCUUGAAUAUCGUGGAGGUAAGCGGAAUAUGUCAUGUAGCGGUGAAAUGCUUAGAUAUGACAUAGAACACCGAUUGCGAAGGCAACUUGCUACACGAUCAUUGACACUGAGGCACGAAAGCGUGGGGAUCAAACAGG
rnacentral:rRNA from 1 species